UACGUAGGGUGCAAGCGUUGUUCGGAAUUACUGGGCGUAAAGCGCGCGUAGGCGGGCUUGUAAGUUGAUUGUGAAAGCCCUGGGCUCAACCCGGGAAUGGCAGUCAAAACUACAAGUCUUGAGUGCCUGAGAGGAUGGCGGAAUUCCCGGUGUAGUAGUGAAAUACGUAGAUAUCGGGAAGAACACCUGAGGCGAAGGCGGCUAUCUGGCGGUGCACUGACGCUGAGGCGCGAAAGCGUGGGGAGCAAACAGG
rnacentral:rRNA from 1 species